rnacentral:lncRNA from 1 species
CUUGUGUAAGUCCCAUAGUGUGAAGGCCAGAGAACCAAGAGAUGGUCAAGAAGAGAGAGUAAGUGUCCAAUGUCCCAGCUCAAGAAGAGAGAAAACUUUUGUGGAUAGCUAAGUUACUGCUAGCCAUCUGAUUAUAGCAAUGGCUUCCAGGAGCAUCACGACCUGUGCAGACUCCCCAGCAUCAUAACAGGAAGGUCCCACGAUCACGAGCACAUUGCCUUCAGCAUCCAGCACUGAAUAUGGUGAAUUGCACUCUGAAGAGCUUCCUAAGCUUGUAAGAAAGUGAUUCUGAAAAGCUCAACAUUUUGGUAGAAUGGAGAGAUUUGACAUUGCUUCUGCUCCAAAAGCAAAAGACUUGGUCAUCCUCUGGUUACUUAGCUUAGGUGACUGCAGCAAGAGAUGUCCAGAGUCUCAACAUUGGGUGAUUGAAGAGCAGAAAGACUGGCAUGAAAUAUCUGUCAACAUAGCUCAACAAGGAAUCAGGAAGAGAGAGUCUUCAAGAUGGCUGACUAGAGGCAUCUGGUACUUGCCUCCUCCACAAAGAAGAACCAAAAUAGCAAGUAUAUUAUUACACUUCGAAUAGAUCAUCUAAGAAAGAACACUGGAAUUCAACCAAGAAGUGGCAAUAAAUACCUAAGGCAAGGAA